GGAGAGACAUCAGAGACCUAAUCAUAAAAAAAAAAAAGAUCCUCCUUUGAAAACAAAAAGGGUAACGACGCUUCAUUCUCCAAAAGAGGAGGCAAAUCUGAUCCCUCCCUUUUUCUUCAUAACAGAGACGAAUGACCAUGACCCCACCCUCAGCUAACUCACCUUUCUCGUACUGACACACUAACUAGCCUAAACAAAAUUUCAAAAGAUGUUAAAAUUUGAGCUUAAGAUGUGAGAUUGUCAGGUUUAAGAUUCGAAGAAAAAACAACACAAAAAUGAUUCUGAAAAGUGCAUUCGUUGCUGCUAUUUCAAGAAGUUUUCUUCACUACUUCUUGAGUUUCAAUUUGGUUUUCUGACUGAGAAUCAAAGCCGAGCACUGUUGUUUCUUCACUAGCUGGACGCUAUUUCACUUGCGCAAAAUUUGUUUGAAUGAGAUUCUGCUCUUCUUUGGAUUAUCAUUUAGUGUUUUCCUCUUCAGCUAGGUCAGUUCUAAGUCCCUUUUUGUAUCAUUUUUGUUGAAUGACCAAGAAAUGUUUUGAUUCCUCUUGC
rnacentral:lncRNA from 1 species